rnacentral:rRNA from 1 species
GAGGAACUACGGUGCUGAAGUCACAAAUGCCCUGCUUCCAGGAAAAGCCUCUAAGCAUCAGGUAACAUCAAAUCGUACCCCAAACCGACCCAGGUGGUCAGGUAGAGAAUACCAAGGCGCUUGAGAGAACUCGGGUGAAGGAACUAGGCACAAUGGUGCCGUAACUUCGGGAGAAGGCACGCUGGUGUGUAGGUGAAGCCACUGCGGGUGGAGCUGAGACCAGUCGAAGAUACCAGCUGGCUGCAACUUUAUAUUAAAAACACAGCACUGUGCAAACACGAAAGAGUACGUAUACGGUG